AGCAUGAAGACUCAUGCCUGUGUGGAUAACCAAGGAGAGGGAAUGAGUGAACCAAACAUGUGUGUUUAACUGGGAUCCUCAGGACCAUAGGGGACAGUCUUGGAUGGGAAAUCAACUCUCUCUGAUGAUGGAAGUAACCCGAUAAAAAUCCUAUGCGAAGGACACAAGAGGCGGGUGUUUAACCUCCGACUGCAGAAAAAAACGACCAUAUGAUGCAGGCAGAAUGAAGAGCUGUUAAUUAAAUAUAUUAUCGUGUAGAUACGAGGUAAUAGGAUCCCCCCCCACUCCAUUUUACCCAUAGAUGUUGAGGGUCCUCCGAGACCUGGUAAAGGCACGGCCGUGUGGUAUGCAGGGUUUCAUACAGUGAAGACAGCACAGGUUUGAGUCCUGGCUGUGCCAAGUUGCUGAUCCUCAUCCAAAUUGUCUCUGGCAAACUGGGCUAGGGCUGUUUCUCCACACCACAAUGACUGGACGUUCUAAAAUGGGGAGAAAAACGGGGGUAAAAUCUACAUUUCACUUUGCUUAUUGUCACUGGUCAAUAUCAGUCACAUUUAUCAGCCAUACAACUGAUUUCCAGCCCACCUUGGGAAAACACAAGAUUAGAAGGCUCAAAAGCAAGUGGCUGUAAUGAAGCAAUUUGAAUACAAAGUACAGCAGCACAAUAUAGCAUACUGAUAUUAAGUGUCUGACUGAUUUUUUACUGAAGGCUAUUUCAGUUUUGCAUAGCCGGAGCUUAUUCCACAUCAAAAGGUCACAUAAAAGAACGCAGGCAUGCUGAAAAUAAACUUACAAAACUAAUUACACAGUAAUUCCUGCUUACUGUCUUUUGGAAAUAACUCCAAGGUCUGCCUUUCACUAAAAAUGAAUGAAACAUUAGUUAUUCAUCAGUAAUAACUAGUUCUUAAAUAUUGGAAAGGGGACCACAUUUCUCCGAGUAGAAACAUGGUAUGCUUCACAUUUUACACUAUGUUUGUUUUAGAGUAAUGCUGGUAGGCUGAUGGCAGGGCCAUUACUAGAACCCCUAAACAAAACUAAAGAUGUCCUGUUUCUAAGCGUUCUUUCUGUGUAUAAUGUAGUUAUGUCAGUGUUCUAAAUCAGCUGUAAAUGAUGUCCAAUAUAUUAAUGAAAUCUGUUAUUAUUGUUAUUGUUACUUUGUGAUCCAUCAUACAUUAUAUAUACAAAAAUGCAAUAAAUAUAAUAACAGAAAUGUUGUUUACUGAGCGGUCAUAGCAUGAGGCUUCUGGGAACAGGAGUUAUUUUAUAACUCUUGAUAUAUAUAGGAGGCUGUGUGGUCCAGUGGUUAAAAAAAGGGCUUGUAACUAGGAGGUCCCCAGUUCAAAUCCCAUCUCAGCCCCUGACUCAUUGUGUGACCCUGAGCAAGUCACUUAACCUCCUUGUGCUCCGUCUUUCGGGUGAGAUGCACUUGUAAGUGACUCUGCAGCUGCUGCAUAGUUCACACACCCUAGUCUCUGUAAGUUGCCUUGGAUAAAGGCAUCUGCUAAAUAAACAAAUAAUAAUAUUUUGUCAAUGUUGAUGUAAUCAUCAGUGUGACUCUGGAAGUGGAAUGAAGGACCACCACGCUGGAUCUGGAGAAGUGAGAUGUCUUCAAAGGGCAGUCUGUAAAUACUGUUCAUUAAUAGUUUUCCAUUAUGCAUGCCUCCUUUUGAACAGAAAAUGUGAGAUCUGUGAAGUGACAGCAACACAUAUUAGGUCAAAUGUACUGGGAUUAUUGUUUGUGCUACAUACUUUAAGCAGCCUUCAAUGUUUAAAUAAAAGGGAUUAUUGUAUUGCCACGUGGCCCACAAUAAACGUUGCAGUUACUAAAGUGGACCUAAAUAAAAAUGAUAGUAAGGUCAACAAUAGAUAUUUCAAUGCUACAUUUAUUUGUCACACUCUAUACCGAUUUCACCCAAACAAACACCCCAUCCAAUGUUUAAGAUGGCCGCCACAAACAUUCAACUCUUCACACAGAUGAAGGCAUUGGCUGAAUGGUUUGUUUGCCUGUGUGGUUUCCUAUAGCUGCGCUCAGGGGGAGGGGAGGAAUGGAAAUGUUGCUGCAGUCUUCAGUGUGCUGUGCUGAGCUGAUCCGAGUCACAGGGAGACAGCCAGGCUGACAGCCAAGGGUCGCAGGGGGUCAGCCAGCAGAAACUCUGCUCAUGAAUUUCCUCUCUCAGCCUCUGACAAAGAGGGGAGGUUUUUGAUAUGGUUGUCAUGACAACCACUGCGUUAGGGGAGAGUUCUAGGAUUGUAUAUAUUUUCAGGGAUGAAUGGG